ACGAACGCUAGCGGCGUGCCUAAUACAUGCAAGUCGAACGGUCUUUCUAUGGAAGCUUGCUUCCACUGAGAAGAUAGUGGGCGAACGGGUGAGUAACACGUGGGGUAACCCUAGCCCAUAAGAGGGGGGAUAACAUCCGGAAACGGGUGCUAAUACCGCAUAGUUUUCUUGAUCGCAUGAUUGAGAAAGGAAAGACGGCCUUUGUGCUGUCGCUUAUGGAUGGACCCGCGGCGUAUUAGUUAGUUGGUGAGGUAACGGCUCACCAAGACGAUGAUACGUAGCCGACCUGAGAGGGUGAUCGGCCACAUUGGGACUGAGACACGGCCCAAACUCCUACGGGAGGCAGCAGUAGGGAAUCUUCCGCAAUGGACGAAAGUCUGACGGAGCAACGCCGCGUGAGUGAAGAAAAGGUUUUCGGAUCGUAAAACUCUGUUGUCAGAGAAGAACAAGUUGGAGAGUAACUGCUCCAGCCUUGACGGUAUCUGACCAGAAAGCCACGGCUAACUACGUGCCAGCAGCGGC
rnacentral:rRNA from 1 species